rnacentral:rRNA from 1 species
AGUCACUGACAUUAGACACCCCCGUAGUCCCAGCCGUAAACAAUGUGCGUUAGGUGUGUCGGUAACCACGUGUUACUGAUGCGCCGAAGAGAAAUCGUGAAACGCACCACCUGGGAAGUACGGUCGCAAGGCUGAAACUUAAAGGAAUUGGCGGGGGAGCACCACAACAGGUGGAGCCUGCGGUUUAAUUGGAUUCAACGCCGGACAUCUCACCGGAUAAGACAGCUGAAUGAUUGUCAAUCUGAAGGUUUUACAUGACUAGCUG